rnacentral:rRNA from 1 species
AGCGUACACGGUGGAUGCCCUGGCAGUCAGAGGCGAUGAAGGACGUGCUAAUCUGCGAUAAGCGUCGGUGAGGUGAUAUGAACCGUUAUAACCGGCGAUUUCCGAAUGGGGAAACCCAGUGUGUUUCGACACACUAUCAUUAACUGAAUCCAUAGGUUAAUGAGGCGAACCGGGGGAACUGAAACAUCUAAGUACCCCGAGGAAAAGAAAUCAACCGAGAUUCCCCCAGUAGCGGCGAGCGAACGGGGAGGAGCCCAGAGCCUGAAUCAGUGUGUGUGUUAGUGGAAGCGUCUGGAAAGGCGCGCGAUACAGGGUGACAGCCCCGUACACAAAAAUGCACAUAUUGUGAGCUCGAUGAGUAGGGCGGGACACGUGGUAUCCUGUCUGAAUAUGGGGGGACCAUCCUCCAAGGCUAAAUACUCCUGACUGACCGAUAGUGAACCAGUACCGUGAGGGAAAGGCGAAAAGAACCCCGGCGAGGGGAGUGAAAAAGAACCUGAAACCGUGUACGUACAAGCAGUGGGAGCCUCUUAAUGGGGUGACUGCGUACCUUUUGUAUAAUGGGUCAGCGACUUAUAUUCUGUAGCAAGGUUAACCGAAUAGGGGAGCCGAAGGGAAACCGAGUCUUAACUGGGCGUUAAGUUGCAGGGUAUAGACCCGAAACCCGGUGAUCUAGCCAUGGGCAGGUUGAAGGUUGGGUAACACUAACUGGAGGACCGAACCGACUAAUGUUGAAAAAUUAGCGGAUGACUUGUGGCUGGGGGUGAAAGGCCAAUCAAACCGGGAGAUAGCUGGUUCUCCCCGAAAGCUAUUUAGGUAGCGCCUCGUGAAUUCAUCUCCGGGGGUAGAGCACUGUUUCGGCAAGGGGGUCAUCCCGACUUACCAACCCGAUGCAAACUGCGAAUACCGGAGAAUGUUAUCACGGGAGACACACGGCGGGUGCUAACGUCCGUCGUGAAGAGGGAAACAACCCAGACCGCCAGCUAAGGUCCCAAAGUCAUGGUUAAGUGGGAAACGAUGUGGGAAGGCCCAGACAGCCAGGAUGUUGGCUUAGAAGCAGCCAUCAUUUAAAGAAAGCGUAAUAGCUCACUGGUCGAGUCGGCCUGCGCGGAAGAUGUAACGGGGCUAAACCAUGCACCGAAGCUGCGGCAGCGACGCUUAUGCGUUGUUGGGUAGGGGAGCGUUCUGUAAGCCUGUGAAGGUGGCCUGUGAGGGUUGCUGGAGGUAUCAGAAGUGCGAAUGCUGACAUAAGUAACGAUAAAGCGGGUGAAAAGCCCGCUCGCCGGAAGACCAAGGGUUCCUGUCCAACGUUAAUCGGGGCAGGGUGAGUCGACCCCUAAGGCGAGGCCGAAAGGCGUAGUCGAUGGGAAACAGGUUAAUAUUCCUGUACUUGGUGUUACUGCGAAGGGGGGACGGAGAAGGCUAUGUUGGCCGGGCGACGGUUGUCCCGGUUUAAGCGUGUAGGCUGGUUUUCCAGGCAAAUCCGGAAAACCAAGGCUGAGGCGUGAUGACGAGGCACUACGGUGCUGAAGCGACAAAUGCCCUGCUUCCAGGAAAAGCCUCUAAGCAUCAGGUAACAUCAAAUCGUACCCCAAACCGACACAGGUGGUCAGGUAGAGAAUACCAAGGCGCUUGAGAGAACUCGGGUGAAGGAACUAGGCAAAAUGGUGCCGUAACUUCGGGAGAAGGCACGCUGAUAUGUAGGUGAAGCGACUUGCUCGUGGAGCUGAAAUCAGUCGAAGAUACCAGCUGGCUGCAACUGUUUAUUAAAAACACAGCACUGUGCAAACACGAAAGUGGACGUAUACGGUGUGACGCCUGCCCGGUGCCGGAAGGUUAAUUGAUGGGGUUAGCGGUAACGCGAAGCUCUUGAUCGAAGCCCCGGUAAACGGCGGCCGUAACUAUAACGGUCCUAAGGUAGCGAAAUUCCUUGUCGGGUAAGUUCCGACCUGCACGAAUGGCGUAAUGAUGGCCAGGCUGUCUCCACCCGAGACUCAGUGAAAUUGAACUCGCUGUGAAGAUGCAGUGUACCCGCGGCAAGACGGAAAGACCCCGUGAACCUUUACUAUAGCUUGACACUGAACAUUGAGCCUUGAUGUGUAGGAUAGGUGGGAGGCUUUGAAGUGUGGACGCCAGUCUGCAUGGAGCCGACCUUGAAAUACCACCCUUUAAUGUUUGAUGUUCUAACGUGGGCCCCUAAUCGGGGUUGCGGACAGUGUCUGGUGGGUAGUUUGACUGGGGCGGUCUCCUCCUAAAGAGUAACGGAGGAGCACGAAGGUUGGCUAAUCCUGGUCGGACAUCAGGAGGUUAGUGCAAUGGCAUAAGCCAGCUUGACUGCGAGCGUGACGGCGCGAGCAGGUGCGAAAGCAGGUCAUAGUGAUCCGGUGGUUCUGAAUGGAAGGGCCAUCGCUCAACGGAUAAAAGGUACUCCGGGGAUAACAGGCUGAUACCGCCCAAGAGUUCAUAUCGACGGCGGUGUUUGGCACCUCGAUGUCGGCUCAUCACAUCCUGGGGCUGAAGUAGGUCCCAAGGGUAUGGCUGUUCGCCAUUUAAAGUGGUACGCGAGCUGGGUUUAGAACGUCGUGAGACAGUUCGGUCCCUAUCUGCCGUGGGCGCUGGAGAACUGAGGGGGGCUGCUCCUAGUACGAGAGGACCGGAGUGGACGCAUCACUGGUGUUCGGGUUGUCAUGCCAAUGGCACUGCCCGGUAGCUAAAUGCGGAAGAGAUAAGUGCUGAAAGCAUCUAAGCACGAAACUUGCCCCGAGAUGAGUUCU